rnacentral:rRNA from 1 species
GACGAACGCUGGCGGCGUGCUUAACACAUGCAAGUCGAACGGAAAGGCCCUGCUUUUGUGGGGUGCUCGAGUGGCGAACGGGUGAGUAACACGUGAGUAACCUGCCCUUGACUUUGGGAUAACUUCAGGAAACUGGGGCUAAUACCGGAUAGGAGCUCCUGCUGCAUGGUGGGGGUUGGAAAGUUUCGGCGGUUGGGGAUGGACUCGCGGCUUAUCAGCUUGUUGGUGGGGUAGUGGCUUACCAAGGCUUUGACGGGUAGCCGGCCUGAGAGGGUGGCCGGGCACAUUGGGACUAAGAUACGCACCAGACUCCUACGGGAGGCAGCAGUGGGGAAUAUUACACAAUGGGCGGAAGCCUGAUGCAGCAACGCCGCGUGCGGGAUGACGGCCUUCGGGUUGUAAACCGCUUUCGCCUGUGACGAAGCGUGAGUGACGGUAAUGGGUAAGGAAGCACCGGCUAACUACGUG